GCUGGGGAUAUAACUCAGUGGGUAGAGUGCAUGCCUCACAUGCACAAGGUCUGGGUUCAAUCUCCAGCACAAUA
rnacentral:tRNA from 1 species